CCUCCACAUUUUCCCCGCUAGCUAGAGAGUUUGCUUUCUGCUGGACAAACUGUGAUAGCCAAAACACAAAGCCUGAAACCACUGCUAUAUUAUUCUCCAAAUAUCAGAGCCAUCGUAAGCUUAUCACAUGCAGCAGCAAGCUUCUGUGUUGCUUCAGUCCAGCAACAGCAUCCCUAACUAUUAGAUUCACCUGCAGUUCUGCAGUCACUGUACAAUUCGGUGCAAUAAAGGCCAAGUCACUAAACUGAUGCAGAUUCUUCCUGUUCCUUAAAAAAAACCAGAUAUUUCUGCCAGAACAACGUUUGUCAGUAGCAGCUCUAAGUGGUAUGUUCUGUUUGGAACAGAACCAAAGCAGCUUAAACACGCUUUGGGAACCGUAAUGAGUCCAGCAGAAAUUCUCAAUCUAUUAACUUUUUAUUUUGCCCAAACCCAGCUCUCAGAAAGGCUUCAUGUGACAUCUGGGACAAGAAUAAAAUAUUACAUUAAGAGUUUAUUUACUACCACCAUCUUUCUAUGUAAAAGUUACUUCUAGGCUUGUCACUCUAGUCCAGUAACACUACAAAAAUUUCAGGAAGAGUUAAAAUCAUACCGCUUAAUUUAUUUUUGCCUGCUUGUUCCUCUUCUUUCAUUUUUUUCCUUUUUAUUUCUAGGAGUUCUGCAUCAAACUUUGCUUUCCAGUUUAGGAAAUUCUCAAUGGUAACAGGAGUGCCAUGAAAACGUUGCUGAAAAAUAAACCAAACA